rnacentral:rRNA from 1 species
GCAAGUCGAACGCAGUAGCAAUACUGAGUGGCAAACGGGUGAGUAUAAUGUGGGAAUCUGCCUUUUGGUUCGGAAUAACACGAGGAAACUUGUGCUAAUACCGGAUAAGCCCUUACGGGGAAAGUUUUAAUGCCAAAAGAUGAGCCCGCACUUGAUUAGCUAGUUGGUAAGGUAAUGGCUUACCAAGGCAACGAUCAAUAGCUGUUCUUAGAGGAAGACCAGCCACAUUGGGACUGAGACACGGCCCAAACUCCUACGGGAGGCAGCAGUGGGGAAUCUUGUGCAAUGGGGGAAACCCUGAUGCAGCGAUGCCGCGUGAGUGAAGAAGGCCCUUGGGUUGUAAAACUCUUUCGUCGGGGAAGAAAAUGACGGUACCCGAAUAAGAAGGUCCGGCUAACUUCGUGCCAGCAGCCGCGGUAAUACGAAGGGACCUAGCGUAGUUCGGAAUUACUGGGCUUAAAGAGUUCGUAGGUGGUUAAAAAAGUUGAUGGUGAAAUCCCAAGGCUCAACCUUGGAACUGCCAUCAAAACUUUUUAGCUAGAGUGUGAUAGAGGAAAGUGGAAUUUCUAGUGUAGAGGUGAAAUUCGUAGAUAUUAGAAAGAACAUCAAAAGCGAAGGCAACUUUCUGGAUCAUUACUGACACUGAGGAACGAAAGCAUGGGUAGCGAAGAGGAUUAGAUACCCUCGUAGUCCAUGCCGUAAACGAUGUGUGCUAGACGUUGGAAACUUAGUUUUCAGUGUCGCAGCGAAAGCAUUAAGCACACCGCCUGGGGAGUACGACCGCAAGGUUA